rnacentral:rRNA from 1 species
UACGUAGGGGGCUAGCGUUGUCCGGAAUCAUUGGGCGUAAAGCGCGCGUAGGCGGCCCGGUAAGUCCGCUGUGAAAGUCCAGGGCUCAACCCUGGAAUGCCGGUGGAUACUGUCGGGCUAGAGUCCGGAAGGGGCGAGUGGAAUUCCUGGUGUAGCGGUGAAAUGCGCAGAUAUCAGGAGGAACACCAAUGGCGAAGGCAGCUCGCUGGGACGUGACUGACGCUGAGACGCGAAAGCGUGGGGAGCGAACAGG